rnacentral:tRNA from 1 species
ACCGAAGUGGUGGAAUUGGUAGACACGCACGUUUCAGGGGCGUGUGUCUUCACGGACAUGCGGGUUCGAGUCCCGCCUCGGUA